CUGUCCGGUGGGUGGCAGAGAAGAACCAGGAAGAGAUGAGGGAGUUGAAGAGUCUCUGCACCUUUGGUAGGACGCAGAGUAAGCCAAGGCACCGCCUGCCUGAGUAAAGAGGCAGUGAAGGUUAGGCCCCGGGGGGAAAGGAGUGUGCGUGCAUCUUUCUCGGAGGCUUGGUAAGCUGAGGGACAGCAUCAGUGACCGAAUAUUUCCCAUUUCCUAUUCCAUGCCCUGUUUCCCCAACAGUCAGAGUGGGAAACGCAUCUAUCCUGCCUGUCCCUACCAUGGGCUUCUUGUUCCUCUGCUGUGUGGCCUUUUGUCUCUUGAGAACAGGCUCCAUGGAUGCUGGCAUUACCCAGACCCCAAAGAAUGGGAUUAUAAAGACAGGAAAGAGCAUUUUACUGGAGUGUUCUCAGACGAAGGGCCAUGACUAUAUGCACUGGUAUCGACAAGACCCAGGACUGGGGCUACAGCUGAUCUACUAUUCCUACGUCAAUGAUAUUAACGAAGGAGAGGUCUCCCAUGGGUACAAGGCCUCUCGAGAGGACCUGUCGAAAUUUUCCCUGUCCCUAGGCUCUGCCAUCCCCAACCAGACAGCGCUUUACUUCUGUGCCAUCAGUGAUUUGCACAGUGCUUGUUGGCCACCUGCUCUCCGUACAGAAAGACAGCACAUUUGCUCAGACGGGCACAGAAGGCUUCUCCGUGUGGGACAUGGGGAUCCUUAG